CCUACGGGAGGCUGCAGUGGGGAAUAUUGCACAAUGGGGGAAACCCUGAUGCAGCGACGCCGCGUGAGUGAAGAAGUAAUUCGUUACGUAAAGCUCUAUCAGCAGGGAAGAAAAUGACGGUACCUGAGUAAGAAGCCCCGGCUAACUACGUGCCAGCAGCCGCGGUAAUACGUAGGGGGCAAGCGGUAUCCGGAUUUACUGGGUGUAAUGUGAGCGUAGACGGUGCGCCAAGUCUGGAGUGAAAUGCCGCGGCUUAACUGCGGAACUGCUUUGGAAACUGGCGAACUAGAGUGCGGGCGGGGUAAGCGGAAUUCGUAGUGUAGCGGUGAAAUGCGUAGAUAUUAGGAAGAACACCGGUGGCGAAGGCGGCUUACUGGACCGUAACUGACGUUGAGGCUCGAAAGCGUGGGGAGCAAACAGGAUUAGAUACCCGGGUAGUC
rnacentral:rRNA from 1 species